GGGUGUAGUUACCAAACUCAAAACCCUGUGGUCUAAAACCUUGAAAGGAAAUGGUGAAGGAAUUAAAGUCGUCUCCAAUUGCGGACGCCGCGGAGACGGAGUUGAAUUGUUGCGAUAAUGGUGGGUGGUAUGAUGAGAAUCUUUUUUUUUGGGAGUUCUCCGGAUGUUAGGCGUCAAGUGGACGAAUGAGUAUGAAGGGAAAAUUCAAUCUCUUGUUGCGGUCGUUGCCUCCACCGGAGACAUGGUCCACAGCUACGAGCCAUCGGAGUUCAAGGACAUGUUUGGAAUUCUACGAUAUAACGAGAGGUAAUUUGAUAACUGUAAAUGUGUAAUAUAUGUUUUAGGAGCAGUUAAAUUAUGGGAUACUAUUAGAUAUGCGUCACGUGAUAAAUUAAAUUGCCACACUGGUGAAACAUGAGGGGGUGGGUAUCUAUCUAAUCGGUGA
rnacentral:lncRNA from 1 species